rnacentral:rRNA from 1 species
CGCGAAACCUUUACACUGCACGCAAGUGGAUAGGGGAAUCCCAAGUGCGAGGGCAUACUAGCCCUCGCUUUUGUUGACUGUAAGGAGGUCAACGAAUAAGAGCUGGGCAAGACCGGUGCCAGCCGCCGCGGUAAUACCGGCAGCUCGAGUGAUGUCCAAUUUUAUUGGGCCUAAAGCGUCCGUAGCUGGCCAGCCAAGUUCGUCGGGAAAUCCACCUGCCCAACAGGUGGGCGUCCGGCGAAAACUGUCUGGCUUGGAACCGGAAGGCUCAGAGGGUACGUCUGGGGUAGGAGUGAAAUCCUGUAAUCCCAGACGGACCACCGAUGGCGAAAGCACUCUGAGAAGACGGAUUCGACAGUGAGGGACGAAAGCUAGGGUCUCGAACCGGAUUAGAUACCCGGGUAGUCCUAGCUGUAAACGAUGCUCAUUAGAUGUGGCACCCACCACGAGUGGGUGCUGUGUCGUAGGGAAGCCGCUAAACGAGCCGCCUGGGAAGUACGUCCGCAAGGAUGAAACUUAAAGGAAUUGGCGGGGGAGCACUACAACCGGAGGAGCUGCGGUUUAAUUGGACUCAACGCCGGACAUCUCACCAGCCCCGACAUCGAUGAUGACAGUCAUGUUAACGACAUCUGCUACGAGUCGAUGAGAGGAGGUGCAUGGCCGCCGUCAGCUCGUACCGUGAGGCGUCCUGUUAAGUCAGGCAACGAGCGAGACCCACGUUCCUAAUUGCCAGCACCGGCUCCGGCCGGGUGGGUACAUUAGGAAGACUGCCAGUGCUAAACUGGAGGAAGGAAUGGGCAACGGUAGGUCAGUAUGCCCCGAAUGGGCUGGGCAACACGCGGGCUACAAUGGUCAGGACAAUGGGUUCCUACGCCGAGAGGCGACGGUAAUCUCAGAAACCUGGUCDUAGUUCGGAUUGCGGACUGAAACUCGUCCGCAUGAAGCUGGAUUCGGUAGUAAUCGCGCUUCAGAAGAGCGCGGUGAAUACGUCCCUGCUCCU